rnacentral:rRNA from 1 species
AUUGAACGCUAGCGGGAGGCUUUACACAUGCAAGUCGAACGAGUGGCGGACGGGUGAGUAAUAUAUCGGAACGUGCCCAGUAGCGGGGGAUAACUACUGGAAACAGUGGCUAAUACCGCAUACCAUCGGAGCGGCAGAUAUCGGAUUAGCUAGUAGGUGGGGUAAAGGCUCACCAAGGCAACGAUCCGUAGCUGGUUUGAGAGGAGGACCAGCCACACUGGGACUGAGACACGGCCCAGACUCCUACGGGAGGCAGCAGUGGGGAAGUUUGGACAAUGGGGGAAACCCUGAUCCAGCCAUCCCGCGUGUAUGAGAAGGCCUUCGGGUUGUAAAGUACUUUUGGCAGAGAAGCGGUAUCUGCAGAAGAAGCACCGGCUAACUACGUGCCAGCCGCCGCGGUAAUAC